AGUUGCUCUCGCUGAUAUCGUUGUGCUACGAGACCUUCUUCGACCCCUUUCCAAUUUAAAGGAUGCUGAUGCCUUGUGCAACUAUCUUGAAUCCUUCUACACGUUGCGAAAGCCAGUGGCAUCUACGAUAAACACAUUGGCAGGUGCCUUAUACCAGGUGUUUUGUGCAUCACCAGAUCCAGCCAGGAAGGAAAUGCGUGAAGCUUGUUUCGACUAUUUGAGUCUAGGAG
rnacentral:misc_RNA from 1 species